rnacentral:rRNA from 1 species
UACGGGGGGGGGCAAGCGUUGUUCGGAAUUACUGGGCGUAAAGGGCUCGUAGGUGGCCAACUAAGUCAGACGUGAAAUCCCUCGGCUUAACCGGGGAACUGCGUCUGAUACUGGAUGGCUUGAGGUUGGGAGAGGGAUGCGGAAUUCCAGGUGUAGCGGUGAAAUGCGUAGAUAUCUGGAGGAACACCGGUGGCGAAGGCGGCAUCCUGGACCAAUUCUGACGCUGAGUGAGCGAAAAGCCAGGGGGAGCAAACGGG